rnacentral:lncRNA from 1 species
GUCGGCUGAAUGAGCGACACCGGUUGAGCAUUCCUACAGCAUUUCCUUCCAGAAGCCAUGAGAUAAUUUUCCGGCUGCGGGGACUGUGCGAGGGGAUUUAUACUACUAUCUGUACUUAUUGGUGGCACAGACGCUGUUUCAUCCUUUCCUACACUUAAAUUACCCUUGCCUAACGAAAUGCCUUGUGUAUGAGGUAUCAGACCUCAGGUUGUCUUUUGGAGGUAUCAGGCCUCAGGUUGUCUUCUGGAGGUAUCAGGCCUCAGGUUGCCUUCUAAAGGUAUCAGACCUCAGGUUGUCUUCUGGAGGUAUCAGGCCUCAGGUUGUCUUCUGGAGGUAUCAGGCCUCAGGUUGUCUUCUGGAGGUAUCAGGCCUCAGGUUUUCUUCUGGAGGCAUCAGGCCUCAGGUUGGUUGUCUUCUGGAGGUAUCAGGCCUCAGGUUGGUUGUCUUCUGGAGGUAUCAGGCCUCAGCUUGGUUGUCUUCUGGAAGUAUCAGGCCUCCGGUUGGUUGUCUUCUGGAGGUACAUAUCAGGCCUCAGGUUGUCUUCUGGAAGUAUCAGGCCUCAGAUUGUCUUCUGGAGGUACAGUAUCAGGCCUCAGGUUGUCUUCUGGAAGUAUCAGGCCUCAGGUUGGUUGUCUUCUGGAGGUAUCAGGCCUCAGGUUGGUUGUCUUCUGGAGGUAUCAGGCCUCAGCUUGGUUGUCUUCUGGAAGUAUCAGGCCUCAGGUUGGUUGUCUUCUGGAGGUACAGUAUCAGGCCUCAGGGCAAAGUGAUAUGGGAUACCUGACAGAAUGACAAAUUGAGGAAAGAUCAGAGGCUUGUCACUAAGACCACAUUAAACACACAUGGAACUCCAAAAUAUGUUUUCACAGUAACGUGUAGGCUCCUCCUGUUUUCUGUUGAAGCCAGUUGCUCAGUUUCAGGUCACAGCCAAUGUCAGUGACAGGUGAGCAACAUUUGAGCUUGUUUGAUCUACAGUGUAUUGGCAUAUGUGUUUGGGGGGUUAUAGCAAGCAGAUGAUUGAUAGUUGUCGUUGUAGUGUGUGG